CCUACGGGAGGCAGCAGUGAGGAAUAUUGGUCAAUGGACGAGAGUCUGAACCAGCCAAGUAGCGUGAAGGAUGACUGCCCUAUGGGUUGUAAACUUCUUUUAUAUGGGAAUAAAACGUUCCACGUGUGGGAUUUUGUAUGUACCAUAUGAAUAAGGAUCGGCUAACUCCGUGCCAGCAGCCGCGGUAAUACGGAGGAUCCGAGCGUUAUCCGGAUUUAUUGGGUUUAAAGGGUGCGUAGGUGGUUUUUUAAGUCAGUGGUGAAAGUUUGAGGCUCAACAGUAAAAUUGCAGUUGAAACUGGAAGUCUUGAGUACAGUAGAGGUGGGCGGAAUUCGGGGUGUAGCGGUGAAAUGCUUAGAUAUCACGAAGAACUCCGAUUGCGAAGGCAGUUCACUGGACUGCAACUGACACUGAGGCUCGAAAGUGUGGGUAUCAAACAGGAUUAGAUACCCGGGUAGUC
rnacentral:rRNA from 1 species